rnacentral:rRNA from 1 species
GACAGGUGCUGCAUGGCUGUCGUCAGCUCGUGUCGUGAGAUGUUGGUUAGUCCCGCAACGAGCGCAACCCUCGCCUUAGUUGCCAGCAUUCAGUUGGGCACUCUAGAGGGACGUGCCGGUGGUCAAACCGGAGGAAGGUGGGGAUGACGUCAAGUCCUCAUGGCCUUUAUGUCUAGGGCUACACACGUACUACAAUGGCCGGUACAAAGGGCAGCCACUCAGCGAUGAGGCGCUAAUCCCAUAAAGCCGGUCUCAGUCCGGAUCGCAGUCUGCAACUCGACUGCGUGAAGUUGGAAUCGCUAGUAAUCGUAGAUCAGCAUGCUACGGUGAAUACGUUCCCGGGCCUU